GUGAGGAAUUUUCCGCAAUGGGCGAAAGCCUGACGGAGCAAUGCCGCGUGGAGGAUGAAAGCCUAUGGGUGGUAAACUCCUUUUCUCAGAGAAGAAAUUUUGACGGUAUCUGAGGAAUAAGCAUCGGCUAACUCCGUGCCAGCAGCCGCGGUAAUACGGGGGAUGCAAGUGUUAUCCGGAAUAAUUGGGCGUAAAGCGUCUGUAGGUGGUUUACCAAGUCUGUUGUUAAAAAUCAGGGCUCAACCCUGAUCCGGCAACAGAAACUAGUAGACUUGAGUACGGUAGGGGCAGAGGGAAUUCUCGGUGUAGUGGUGAAAUACGUAGAUAUCGAGAAGAACACCAAUAGCGAAAGCACUCUGCUGGGCCGAAACUGACAUUGAGAGACGAAAGCUA
rnacentral:rRNA from 1 species